GAUGAACGCUGGCUACAGGCUUAACACAUGCAAGUCGAGGGGAAACGACGGGGAAGCUUGCUUCCUUGGGCGUCGACCGGCGCACGGGUGAGUAACGCGUAUCCAACCUGCCUCUGACUGAGGGAUAACCCGUCGAAAGUCGGCCUAAUACCUCAUGGCAUCGUCUGCGGGCAUCCAACGACGAUUAAAGAUUUCAUUGGUCAGGGAUGGGGAUGCGUCUGAUUAGCUUGUUGGCGGGGUAACGGCCCACCAAGGCAACGAUCAGUAGGGGUUCUGAGAGGAAGGUCCCCCACAUUGGAACUGAGACACGGUCCAAACUCCUACGGGAGGCAGCAGUGAGGAAUAUUGGUCAAUGGGCGAGAGCCUGAACCAGCCAAGUAGCGUGCAGGAUGACGGCCCUAUGGGUUGUAAACUGCUUUUAUGCGGGGAUAAAGUGAGGGACGUGUCCUUCAUUGCAGGUACCGCAUGAAUAAGGACCGGCUAAUUCCGUGCCAGCAGCCGCGGUAAUACGGAAGGUCCGGGCGUUAUCCGGAUUUAUUGGGUUUAAAGGGAGCGUAGGCCGUGGAUUAAGCGUGUUGUGAAAUGCAGGUGCUCAACGUCUGCACUGCAGCGCGAACUGGUCCACUUGAGUGUGCGCAACGCGGGCGGAAUUCGUCGUGUAGCGGUGAAAUGCUUAGAUAUGACGAAGAACUCCGAUUGCGAAGGCAGCUUGCGGGGGCACAACUGACGCUGAAGCUCGAAAGUGCGGGUAUCGAACAGG
rnacentral:rRNA from 1 species